rnacentral:lncRNA from 1 species
GCUGCUCAGCCACUCGGGCCUCUCUGAGAGAAGCCACCUCCUAGACACAGGUCCAGGAGCCACAGGUGGUGGGCAGGGGCCAGGAGGAGGCUUCUUCCCCUUCUCCUCCCUGCUCCAGCCUCACCAGCCCGGACCAGCGACCCCCAGCUCUCCCAGUGAUGGGUACAGGGAUCCCCACGCACUGGUUCAGGGCUCCCUAAACCUUGGCCUUUGUUCAAAGCAGUGAAGUGGGCGACUGCUGGGAAGCCCCAGUGGCCACUGCAGGGACAGAAGCUCCCUUCCAAUUCUUAUCCCCAAGCCUGUUUAGUCCCCUGGACACAUCAGGAGGCCUUGGGAAUAGAAAGAAGCCAUGUAUGACCAGAAGCCUUGGAAUCUCAUCUUAAGCUGAGCUGCUCUUCUCUGGCCCCUGAGGUGCAGGGGUUGGGGUGGGGGGUGGAGAACUCACAGCCCAUCAAGCCUCCACACCCUGGCUGUGUGGAGCCUCCGUGAGACCUGCAGAGGUCUGGGGUCUGGGAAGCUGAACAGCGAGAACCAGUGGCAGAUAAUGGGGUGCAGCGUCCAACUGGAGUUACACAGCCUUUGAACAGCUGGUGGCCUUUGACCUCAGUGACCACUCUUCCUCAAGCCAUAGACACUGAGACUCUGGGAUGGGUGUGGGGAAAGGGACACUGAGGGUUUGGCUUUCGGCUAUACCAGGAGUACCUCCCGAUCUUUCCAGUUGGAACUGAGGCCGAGAAGUCCCUGACUGGGUCAGAGUUGGCCAGUGGCCCCUCUGCAAGGAUUUCCCUUCCCAAGCAUCAAAUUUUGCUUGGAUCCAAAUAUAACCCAUCUACUCAGAUGGUACACCUGCAAUCUGGGCAUCUCCCUCUUUUGCCCAUUAACCCCAUUCAGGGGCAUCUCUUCCCUCUUAGCAUCUGUGGUGCUAAGUUCUGAGUCUUCACAGGUUGGGAUGGUCCCCAGAGUGCUGGCAGGCUGGAGCCCCAUCAGGGAGGAUAGCAAGGACAUAGGACAGGGGAUACACACAGCCUUCUGAACAAACAGCCUCAGGCCACCUGCUGUCCCUCCCCCCAACCUCCUGGAGCCUCACAGGAGCCUCAGGCUGUAACGAAUCUGCAGCCUUCCUCAGGGGCACUGUGGGCGGCUGGGGUUUGUCUUUUGAAGAUGUCCAGGGAUGGGUGAAGAGAGCAGUUGCUUGGUUCAGGGAAUUUUCUUUCUUUCUUCUUCUUCUUUUUG